AUGGGCAUCUCUUGGGGCAACACAAGCACCACAAACUGGGAACAAAAGAAAGCACCUCCACACCACAAGAGCUAGCAGUGUGAGCUAGAGCUGCCAACGCUAAGCCUGGCCUGUAUCACAUAUACAGUCUGAGUUUGAGAAGACAAAAAAUGUCAUGCCCUGAGAUUGGAUGCGGGAAACUUCUCCUAGGGCUCUGUGUGUUGAGCUAAAAAACAAACAACCAACCCAAGGAUCACUGUGUACAAGGCAUUCAGUGACAAGCUGGCCUGCAUCAACACCUGGUAAGAACCGUAUUAUGCUCGUUGACAGGACACCCGCUAAUAGUGGUAGAGUCCCAUUAUAUACACUGCGCCUGGGCUAAGGAGAGAUGGUGCUGAUGCUUUUAAACAAGAAAACAACCAAAAUUAACAAGAAAUAUGAUGGAAAGGAAAAGAAUGUCAAGGUCAGUGGAUCUGGUGAGGAAGUUCCAACAGGGCCAGCCUCUGUCCUGCACUGCAGCAAGCCUGGGCCAGUGUGGCAGAGCAGAGGGCUACGUGCCUGAGGGCAAGGAGCUAGCGUAGUGGUCUUUCUGUGCAAGAUCAAAGCCUGGAAAG
rnacentral:lncRNA from 1 species